rnacentral:snRNA from 1 species
AUACUUACCUGGCGCGGGGGAUACCGUGUGAUCAAGAAGGCGGUGGCCUCCAGGACGAGGCCUGUACAUUGCACUCCGUAUAUGGCUGACUCCUGCGACUACCCCAAAUCGCGGGUGGCUCGAGCGCAUAAUUUUUGGUAGUGGGGACAAGCGUUUCCGCGCUGUCCCUU